CAGAGCUUCAGUCCUGGAACCCAUCUGGGAACCUGGAUCACCUUCUCCUUCGGUCCCAUCUGUAAACACAAGUGGAGUCCCUCCUGUUGGGACCUCUAAAG